rnacentral:rRNA from 1 species
CCGGCGACCGGCGCACGGGUGAGUAACACGUAUGCAACCUGGCCGUGACAGAUGGAUAACCGGGAGAAAUCCCGCCUAAUACAACAUAAUGCCGGGAGGGGACAUCCCCUGCCGGUCAAAGGGGGCGACCCCGGUCAUGGAUGGGCAUGCGGCGCAUUAGGUAGUUGGUGGGGCAACGGCCCACCAAGCCGACGAUGCGUAGGGGUUCUGAGAGGAAGGUCCCCCACAUUGGAACUGAGACACGGCCCAGACUCCUACGGAAGGCAGCAG